AUGGGGCCUGGGGGUGUACAGGUCCCCAUCUGGCCUCUGGAGGGCGAUGUUGCACCAGGAGGUUCUGUGGAUGGCCAUCUUCUCAGCUCCUCCUCUGGCAGCAGGUCGAGUUCUUUGCAGACAGAGACAGGAGAUGCCAGGGCCCAGACAGUGACCCAGCUGGACCCCCAUGUUUUGGUCUCUGAAGGAAAAUCACUGGAGCUGAGGUGCAACUAUUCGUAUAGUGGAAUUCCUACUCGCUUCUGGUACGUCCAGUACCCCAACCAAGGCCUCCAGCUUCUCCUCCAGUCCUUUUCACCUGAUCCCCUGGUUCAAGGCAGUAAAGAUUUUGAAGCUGAAUUUAAUAAGACCAACUCUUCCUUCAACCUGAAAAAGUCCUCAGCCCACUGGGGAGACUCAGCCCAGUACUUCUGUGCUGUGACACAGUGA